UUUAAAUAAAUCUUCAGCCUGCAGCCCUGUCACCACGCAGGGGCUGCGCUAUGCAGACUGGGAAGAGCAGACAGGAAGCUCCUCCCCCUCUCUCACUCCCCUGUAUACUGGACCUUGUGGAGCAGGCCCGCUGUGUGUAUACAGGCCCGGACACCACCAGUAUGGAAGACUUACCUGCCCAGUGCCCACUGCUCAUGCUGCCCUUUUAAAGAUAUCACGCUCUCUUCUUUACCACACACUGCCACCUGGCAUCAGGGACAGUUACACAUCUAUGCAUACAUAGAGACCAUCGACACAUUGAGGAUUAUUACCACUAUCUGCAGAUUACAUCAACAUUCAACAAUAAAAGUAUCUCUAUUGUUUAACCCUUUCAGCGCUGGGAUAUGUUUAUUUAAAUAUAUAUAUUUUUAUACACACACUCUACUGUAGAGACCCUGCUCAGGUUUCAGUUUGCGGCCCAAUUUCCUGCCACAGGGUGUGGAUUAAAGUUGCUCGUGAUGCGAUAGCUACACAGCACUUAGCAUGACUGGAAGCCAACAAUGAGUUAAGUGUAUGCAGAAGAGUCCUUGCUCAGCUACUACUUUUUACUGACAAGAAAAAUUCUUCUCAUUGGAGCAGGAAGCAGGAUUUUGGAGAUAACUGGAAAAUGAGUUCUGACUAGGCCUAAACUCCUCUCACAUGGGACCUAGCAGAGAUAUGAGACAAUCAGGUUCAAGUCCUCUAGCCUGUUCAGGACGUAGGGCGUAUGCAUACGCCCUGCAUCCCGAGUCCUUUAGGACGUAGGGCGUAUGGAUACGCCCGUGGGAAUUCCGGUCCCCACCGCUAGCCAGUUGGGGACCGGACUGGGAUGCCUGCUGAAAUCAUUCAGCAGGCAUCCCGGCACAUCGCCGAGGGGGGUCCUGAGACACCCCCAUGUUGGCGAUCGGAAAAAAUGACAUGUCAAUUCAGACAUGCGAUUUUCUCCUAUUUCGGGAUGAUCGGGUCUCUAGUGACCCCAUCACGCG